CACAUGUUUACUUUCUCACUUCUCCUUUUUUACAUUUGAAGUUAUUUUCUGUUUCUCCUUCCUUCCGCCACAUCUGUCUUUCUCCUCCUCUCUUUUACUGUCAGUUCUGGUUUGCCCAUCUCUGCGUGUACUUCAAGGUCUUCUUACUGAUGCUUCAAGAUGAACACAACAGUUGAGGCCAUUACUGAAGGCUUUAACACAACUAAGUUUGACAACGUGUCCCACAGCAAGCCUGAUCUCAGACCAGUGAAAACACCUAACUCACCUAACACAGCAUCUCGACCUGAUUGGAUACUCUACACAGUUCCUGCAUCAGCCUUUCUGAUUGGGAUUGUUCUGUUUACGUACGUCUGCAAAACACAACGACGCAGAAAUGCACCUGCAAUGCAGAAGACAAACACAAAUGGACACUUUGCCACUUACACCGACUUUGGGUUCACUAAGAGCGCUACUCAGAGACAUAUGGAGACCAAUAAAAACAACAAGAAGGAUGACACGCAGUCCUAUGAGAAUGUAGAAGCAGCUAUCUACAGCAAUCAAGACAAAGUCACAUAUUAUGUUUCUGCAGAUGAAGAUUAUCUUAACCCGGAUGCAAUGGGGGAAGAGGAAGUGCCAGGGCCAGAAAAACUUCACAACAACACUCUACAACUACCUAGCAAUUUGACCGAUACGGAUGGAGAGUCAUAUGAGAACAUGGAGGGGUGUUUAUAUGCUCUGCCUCGCAAACAAACACAGCAACUCCAGGACGCCGCUGAAGAUGACGGUGAGGGAUCAAACACACACCCAAACGGGUGUCAGGGAUCUGAUAUUCUAUUCACUUUAAUACACAGUAGUCAAAUGAAUGUGAUAAUCUCUCUUAAAAAUGCCACAGACUAUAUCAAUCCUGAUGAAGAUAGAAAACAAGAUCUCGCUCUGGACCAAACAGACACUGGCAAGUGCUUCAUUAUGUGUUUGUAUGCACAUGUACAGUUGGGAAUAAAACAAACAAACUAA
rnacentral:lncRNA from 1 species